GAUGAACGCUGGCGGCGUGCCUAACACAUGCAAGUCGAGCGAUUCUCUUCGGAGAAGAGCGGCGGACGGGUGAGUAACGCGUGGGUAACCUGCCCUGUACACACGGAUAACAUACCGAAAGGUAUGCUAAUACGAGAUAACAUAAGAAAUUCGCAUGUUUUUCUUAUCAAAGCUUUUGCGGUACAGGAUGGACCCGCGUCUGAUUAGCUAGUUGGUAAGGUAACGGCUUACCAAGGCGACGAGCAGUAGCCGACCUGAGAGGGUGAUCGGCCACAUUGGAACUGAGACACGGUCCAAACUCCUACGGGAGGCAGCAGUGGGGAAUAUUGCACAAUGGGCGAAAGCCUGAUGCAGCAACGCCGCGUGAGCGAUGGAGGCCUUCGGGUCGUAAAGCUCUGUCCUCAAGGAAGAUAAUGACGGUACUUGAGGAGGAAGCCCCGGCUAACUACGUGCCAGCCGCCGCGGUAA
rnacentral:rRNA from 1 species